ensembl:rRNA 5S_rRNA 5S ribosomal RNA
AACCACAGUUAUAUCACCUUGCAACCCAAGACUGGUUGCUCACUGAAGCUAAGCAGGGCUGAGCUUGGUCAGUACCUGGAUGGGAGACCACAUGGGAAAACUAGGUUGAUGUUAGUG